rnacentral:rRNA from 1 species
ACGAACGCUGGCGGCAGGCCUAACACAUGCAAGUCGCGCGAGGACUUCGGUUCUAGCGGCGGACGGGUGAGUAACGCGUGGGAAUGUGCCCUUCUCUACGGAAUAGCCCUGGGAAACUGGGAGUAAUACCGUAUACGCCCUAUUGGGGAAAGAUUUAUCGGAGAAGGAUCAGCCCGCGUUGGAUUAGGUAGUUGGUGGGGUAAUGGCCUACCAAGCCGACGAUCCAUAGCUGGUUUGAGAGGAUGAUCAGCCACACUGGGACUGAGACACGGCCCAGACUCCUACGGGAGGCAGCAGUGGGGAAUCUUAGACAAUGGGGGCAACCCUGAUCUAGCCAUGCCGCGUGAGUGAUGAAGGCCUUAGGGUUGUAAAGCUCUUUCAGCUGGGAAGAUAAUGACGGUACCAGCAGAAGAAGCCCCGGCUAACUCCGUG